rnacentral:tRNA from 1 species
GAGUGGUGGUCGAGCGGUCGAAGGCGUUGGAUUUGAAAUCCAAAGUGCUUAAGCACCGGGGGUUCGAAU